rnacentral:rRNA from 1 species
UACGGAGGGUGCAAGCGUUAUCCGGAUUCACUGGGUUUAAAGGGUGCGUAGGUGGGCAGGUAAGUCAGUGGUGAAAUCUCCGGGCUUAACCCGGAAACUGCCAUUGAUACUAUCUGUCUUGAAUACCGUGGAGGUGAGCGGAAUAUGUCAUGUAGCGGUGAAAUGCUUAGAUAUGACAUAGAACACCAAUUGCGAAGGCAGCUCACUACGCGAAUAUUGACACUGAGGCACGAAGGCGUGGGGAUCAAACAGG